AUGACGCGCAAGCGCAGUUUAACUCGUCCUAAAGUGAUCGUCCUGCCGCCGUCCAGUGAAGAGAUUUCCAGCAAGAAGACAGCAACAGUGAUGUGUGUGGCCAGCAAUGGUUUCCCUUCAGACUGGAGUCUGAGCUGGAAAGUGAAUGGGAAGAUGUCAGGAUCUCAGGAGAACAGAGCUGGAGUCCUACAGAAAGACGGCGGUCUGUACAGCUGGAGCAGCAGUCUGACUCUCACUGAACAAGAAUGGAUCAACAGAGACUCAGUGAUCUGUGAGAUCAGUCGGGAAGGUCAGACAGUCACUGGAGAAGUGAAGAAAGAUCUGUGUUCUCAGUAA